ACACACACACACACCCUUCUGUACACACGGCAUCUGCCUGUACACAGUCUCUCGUGUUCUCGCCCUCCCUCUCAUCUCUCAUGUGCGCGCGCUGUCAUUAACGCACCGCGGCAGCGCACGUCAGACGCGCUCGAGCACACGGUUCGGUUCGGACAUGAUACCGGCGCGGACCCGGAGAUGAGGCUCAGAAAUGGCACCUUCCUAACAGUCUUACUAUUCGGGUUAUGUGGGCUCAUAUCGUUGUCCUGGUACACCGCAUUCAGCAAUUCCAAAGGUAAUGUGGUAGACAUUUACCAGCGGGAAUUUCUGGCCCUGAAAGACCGUCUGCACUCGGCUGAGCAAGAGAACCUCAAACGCUCCAAAGAGCUGAACCUGGUGCUGGACGAGAUCAAGCGAGCCAUCGCUGAGAAGCAAGCGCUGCGGGACAUCAACCGCACCUGGAGCAGUCUGUCAGAUGAGACCAAGCUGAAGCUGUGGAACGUGACCAGCAGUAAGAAUGUCCUCCAGCUGCCCAGCAUCUUCCACCAUCUGCCGCACCUGCUGGCCAAAGAGACCAGCCUCCAGCCGGCCGUGCACAUCAGCCAGGGACGCACCGGAGUGUCGAUAGUGUUGGGGGUGCCCAGUGUGAAGAGAGAGGUGCACUCCUAUCUGACGGACACGCUGAGCUCACUGAUGUCAGAACUGAGUCCGGCCGAGAAGGAGGACUGCGUGAUUGUCGUCUUCAUCGCAGAGACGGAUGAACAAUAUGCAAAUAGUGUUGCUGACAACCUUAAGCGCCUGUUUCCAGGAGAGAUUCAGUCUGGGCUGUUGGAGAUCAUCUCUCCCUCCAUCCAUUUCUAUCCAGACUUCUCUCACCUCAAAGAGUCUUUUGGUGACCCUAAAGAGCGGGUCAGAUGGCGAACAAAGCAGAACCUGGAUUACUGCUUCCUGAUGAUGUAUGCCCAGACUAAAGGGACUUAUUACGUACAGCUAGAGGAUGACAUUGUAGCACGGCCAAACUACUUCACCACGAUGAAGAAUUUCGCCCUGCAGCAGCCGUCAGAGGAGUGGAUGAUCCUCGAAUUCUCCCAGCUGGGCUUCAUCGGUAAAAUGUUCAAGUCAUUAGACUUGCCGUUGAUCGUGGAGUUUAUGCUAAUGUUCUACAAAGACAAGCCCAUUGAUUGGCUGUUGGACCACAUCAUGUGGGUGAAGGUGUGCAAUCCAGAAAAAGAUGCGAAACAUUGUGACAGGCAGAAGGCAAACCUACGCAUCCGCUUUAAACCGUCUCUCUUCCAGCACGUUGGAACACACUCUUCCCUCGCCGGAAAGAUCCAGAAACUCAAGGAUAAGGAUUUCGGAAAGCAGACGUUGCAUAAAGGUCACGCUAACCCGCUAGCUGAGGUCACCACCAGUCUGAAGACGUACCAGCAUUUCACUCUGGAGAAGGCCUAUCUGGGAGAGGACUUCUUCUGGGCGUUCACACCUGUGGCCGGAGACUUCAUACGCAUCCGCUUCUUCACACCUGUCCGAGUAGAGAGGUAUUUCUUCCGCAGUGGAAACAUCGAGCACCCUGGAGACAAGCUCUUCAACACUACGGUGGAGGUUCUUCCUUUCGACAAUAUUCAGUCAGAGAAAGAAGCGCUGAAGGAGGGGAGAGAGAGGACGCCCAAGUACCAGCGCACAGAAGAUGGCUUCAUCAGAAUAGGCCGUGUCUCUCAGGGUGUGUGUUGAUGCCGUCCCUCAGGGAGGUUUGACCAGGGGAUCGCGGAGGGGGAGGUGGACGCUUCGUUCGGUCCGCUGGAGGCUCUGCGGCUCUCGGUCCGGACUGACUCUCCUGUGUGGGUCAUUCUCAGCGAGAUAUUUAUCAAGAAAGCGGAGUGACUGGUGUUCAACAAUACCUCAUGACUUCACCGGGUCUCUGGUGCUCAGCAGCUCCACACGAGCCCUUCACGAGAGUUUCUUUAGCUUGCUCCAAUAGCGCCAGCUGCUGGCGACAAGCUGUAAUAGCAGGUAGAGCGCGCGAGGCGUCAAGACGAACAGCGCGUGCUGUCAGACGCGCCGCACUAGACUGAUGACGCUGUAUUUUGUAAACUGUAUUUAUAUGUGUGUAUAUAUGCCCAUGGUUGAGUUUAUGUAACUACACUGGUCUGUUGUCAAGGGCUUCCUGAGUGGCCUCUCGCCCGCUUCAAGAAACACUUGGACAUUCAACGAAUGCUGCUUUUGGAAUAGAAGACUCUUUAAGUUCCUCCUCGAGAUUCGAUUUUCAAAGUUGAAUUUGUGUUGUUAAUUAGUUGACAAAUGAUUCUGUUUAGGCGGCUCCAGAUGGUGUGUAUUUACAGUAUUUAUGAUGAUACAUUAAGAGCACACACACAGGCCUGUGUUAGGUUGUGUGUUUCCAAAGUCAGUCCAAAAGAUGUGUUCUAAUGAAAGAGAGACCUUUAUUGUAACUAGAGAAUGCCUCAAACUGUUUCUUCUAAAAAUCACUGGACUUUUCUUGAUAUAUUUCAAAUGAGAUCAAUCACAACAAACAAGAGGGAAGCCUUACAUUUUUUAUUAUUCAUAUUAUAAUUUUUUUUUUUACUUUCCAUUCAGACAUGAUUUCUUGCCAUAUGUUGUUUUUCCUCUUCUGCCUUCAUGUGACGCAGUAGUGUGCUGAUGGUUUUACGAUAAGAGUCGGUAGAGUAAACAGAAACAGACCUCUGGGUUAUUAUAUAGAGACACAGAUAGACCCAAACCCUGCCAGAAAUAUGUAUGGUGUGUAAUCUGUACAGCUCAGUGUGAAUCUGGUAUGCUCAGUUUGCUCUCUGAUAAUAGAAAAGAUCUUGAGCUACAAAGCAAAGUUAUCCCCAAAGACAGAAAGAAAAAGAGAAAGUCUGUGCUGUAAGAUAACACUGUCUGACCAACAACAACGCUGAAGUUGUUUUAGAAGUCGAGGAGACAUACAACACCAUCUUUCACUAUCCCCGUCCUGUUUUCUCUUGAUUGAUCCAUGAACUCGAUAAGAAAAUGUAAUGCUCCUGCCAAACAUUUUGAAUAAAGACAAAGUCCAAACUUGA